CCCAGGGUUGGUGUGGCUGCGGCCACCCAGGCCCACCGUGUGGGCUCCACACUGGGCACGUCUGUGUAGAUGUCGGGGGCGUGGGCUGGCCCUGGGCUACGGCUUCUGGGGCGGCUCUGCAGUAAGCUCUUGUGGGGUACGGGAGGGUGUGUCAGCCCGCCAUGUGUGGUCCAGUGAGACCGCUCAGGCUCCUCUGUCCAACCCCCGCUUCCCUAAUUCUUUUGGAACCCUUUAGAAUCACCGAACCACCCUCCUUCUUAGCUCUGGUCCCCCUCAGGCCACUGAUCUCUUGGCCCGAGAGUCUACUCCCUCCUCCCUCUUCAAGCCCUGGGUUGUCUCCGAAUGUCGCCCGUGUGUGCCUGAGGCUGGGUGGUUCAAGCUGGCUAGGCAAAGGGAGUGGAGGGUGGUGGGGACAGAGCUCUCGGGGUGUGUGGGUGAAUUAGAGGGCCCUGCGGCUCACGGCACUGACCAGCCCCUGUGCGCCAACUCUGAGUCCAGCCCUCAGCAUGGCAGCUUCCUUGGAUCAGGCCGCUGGCCUCCUCAUGUCCAUCUUCCACCAGUACUCUGGCAGAGAGGGUGACCAGAACUUCCUGAGCAAGAGGGAGCUGCUCAUUGGUGAGAAACUGCAGAAGUCCGGAAUUGGAACGCUGAUGGCCGGCCUAGACCAGAGCAAAGACCAGGAACAUGACAUUGAACCAGACAAAAGGAUUACG